UUGCAUGUAUAAGUCAGGUAUGAAAGGCUGAUCACCUUCAUUACCAGUUGGUUCAGAAAUGUUUGUUCAUGUUUAAAACUUGUUCAGUCAAAAGUUUGUUCCUGCUAGUUCUCAAUUAUAUUGAUGAAUUAUAGCCAGCUUAUUAUUCAUACUCUUCAAUCAUGAUAUAUCCUUAUAUUAUUGUAUUUAAACUUGCUGGGC
rnacentral:lncRNA from 1 species